CUAUUUCACUAUUUACUUAACCCUAUCUCUCUUUUACCGCCGUCCUCUGAAUCUUGCGACACUCUUCAACUGCGACAGUCGUCUUACCAACAAUGAUUUCGUUCCGUCGCGCGAUCGUCAGCCCUAGCUGCUGGUCAACUCAGAAGCCCCACAACGGUCCAGCACAAGUGGUAUUUCUUGAGAAAGCUUAAGAAGGUGAAGAAGAGCAAUGGCCAGGUUCUUGCCAUCAAUGAGGACUGUCACACUUAUUCGAGAGUGAAAUUAGGGGAAUUAAAGCUUAGAGUUGAAGUGAAGAUAUAAACUCUAAAGCUUACUGUAAAAUCACUAUGUCUGAAUAUCUGUUUGAUUGUGGCGAAGGGCCGCUGUUCAGGUCGUGAGAUUUAAGGUACAAAGUUAACUGUCAUUUGGUGAUAUUAAAUAGGGUUAUAAAAUUAAAUGAAUUUUACAUGUAUGAAUGAUCUUGGAAGCAAGCUCGAUGAGAAAAAGAGGAUGAUAGGGACAAGGGAACUUUGCAAAACGCCUCAUGUGUAAAAACUCGACACAGACCCCCUCAACUGGCUUGGAUCAUUCCAUUUUGAGACCAAAUGCAGCAAGAAUUGCUUGAGCAAAGACGCGAGCAAAAACUGGAGAUAGAUGAGAUGAUGAAGCGGUUUAUCUCCAAGCAACCCCAACAGUCAAGUCACACUCUUGUUGAUGAUGAUGAUGAUGCUACUAGUUAGAAUUGAUGUUUCACAAACUAACUUCUAAACUCAAUACUUUGUGCUUCUUUUUGCUUUGUACGUUGAUUAUGUUCUGAUGAAUACUUUUGAGGUUUAUCUGUCA